rnacentral:tmRNA from 1 species
GGGGGCGUCCUUGGUUUCGACGGGGGUUGCGAAGCAGAUGCGGGCAUACCGGGGUCUCAGAAGCCCGUUAAACACUGAACGAAAAUAGUCGCAAACGACGAAACUUACGCUCUGGCAGCUUAAGCCAAGCCGUUGCAACAGUCGGUCAAUGGGCUGUGCGGCGCAAGCCGCGGCAACGUCAUUUUUCAUUGACUGGUUUCCUGUCGGGUUACUUGGCAGGGGAUAAGAUUUUAGGUAACUGGUUUCCCGCGAGCCUGCCGGUCGGCGCAACGGAAAUAAGACACCCAAAUCGACACGGCUAAGUAUGUAGAACGCUUUGUAGAGGACUUUCGGACGGGGGUUCGAUUCCCCCCGCCUCCACCA